rnacentral:misc_RNA from 1 species
CAAGGCACCAGUUGAUCCAAUUACUCAAAUACUAUGCUCGAUUAAUAGGGUAUUUACAUGUAUCAUAAAAGCUAAUCCUGUUCUUCAUACAUGAUGACAAAUAAAUCCAAAUCGAACUGGAUUAUAUUUACACCUGGAGUAAUUGUCCAGUUUGGCUCGAGCCUCAGGGCUUUACCUUGAAAGGGGCACUCGAAAGGAAAAGCCCUAGCCUCCUUGAUUCCUAAUCGAUGUAAGAUUUUGCAUAAUAAUCUAUCAAUACAUCCUUCACAAUCAGAGAACUGUAACUGUGCUUCCUGCAAAACACAGAUCAAAUGCAGAGGCAGCACAACCAUUACAGCACACCAAAUUUGAUGCGCUGUACUUGCAAAAUAUCUCAGACUAAUCACAUCAAAAUUAUCCACCAACUGUCAUAAUUAUAGAGAAUAAUGCAACAAAUUGCAAUUGAAAAUAUCAAAGAGAGAGGGAUUAAAAAAGGGUUGAGUAAAGUUGACUUGCUAAUCCGCAAAAAAGCAUGGGGGAGAAUGGUUUAUCGUUACGGAAAGAAAGUAUAUAGAGAAUAUCUAAAUAAACUUACGGAAUAAUAUUGGAAAUGUAUCAUAUUUCUACUUCACUCAUCCAAUCUUGUGAGCACAUCAAAGCUUGCACAGUAGUUGGUCGCAUUGAACUCCAUUCACGGUCAAGCACUCUCCCUCCAUUGUUAAAAGCAGACUCAGGUGUACCUUUUGACAUAGGAAUUCCCAAAAUAUUCCGUGCCAUCAUAGCUAGUAUAGGAUACUUUGGAGUGUGAACUUUCCACCAAUUUAAUAUGUUGAAAUCAACACUGCGAGGAAAAAGAGGUUCUUCCAAGUACUUGUCCAAAUCUGAUUUAGUACCUUGGCUCUGGGAAGUUUCAUGGAGGAAUUUGUCAAAUCCCAUCAGUCUAUCUUUACUGUCUCGCCCAGAACUAGGCAAGCAUCCAAUGCUACCACUAACUUGGCAAGUCAGACCUUGGUCAAAAGAAGCUAAAGGAGAGCCAAUCGAAUGUUCGUUGUACAGUGCCUUUAUAUACUCAGAAACUUCAUCAAUUAACUCUGCAGAACCACUACCAAAUAUUUGUUGAUAGUAGUACUCGAUCAAUUUUAUCUUGAAUCGAGGAUCUAACAUGGCUGCAACUGCUAAAGCAAAACUGCAUUUCUCCCAAUAUUCAUCAAACUUGCCUUUCAUCUUUAAUGCCAUAGAACCAAUAAAAUCAUCAGAAUUCUUGCACCAUUCAAUUAACUGCAAGUGAAUAUCACAGAUCUCAGAAAAAUAUAUAUUUGCAGUUGGAUACUUAUUCUUCACAAAAACCUUAGCGACUUCAACAAAGUGCUUCAAAAAGCUUGUAACGGUCCUCACCCUCUCCCACUCUAAAUCAGUUGGACAAGUUGAAUAGGCAAUGCCUUGUUCCUGAAAAUGUGAAAAUGCCCACCUGUACUCUAAGGCAGCUUCAAGCAUAAAAUAUGUAGAGUCCCAACGCGAUGGAUUGUCAAGACAUAAGCACUUCUGACUCUCAACUCCACCUUGUGAAGCAAUCUCAUUGAAUUUCAUCAGAUUUACUUGUGAACUUCUGACAUAACGAAUGCUUUCACGAAUUUUGUGUGUUACCUCAGAAAGCACCUCCAGUGCAUCGUGAACCAUCAGCUUGAGAAGACUUGCAGCACAGCGUAUAUCAAAUAGCACACCAUUACAGUAGAGGAACCUAUUCUGCGACAGCCGGUCUCUGAUUCUAUGGACAACAUUGUCAUUGGCAGAAUGACUAUCAAAUGUCAUUGAAAACAGCUUACGGUCUAUAUCCCAAUCCAUCAGACAUGUCAUGAUGCCUUCUGAAUGCAUGUCUUCUGUAGAAGCUGGAUCAACCAAGAUGAAAUUCAGUGUCUUCUUCUUUAAUUGCCAACCUUCAUCAAUGUAAUGUGCUGUUAAACACAAGUACUCAGCAUCGUCAGAAGCAGACCACAGAUUGGCACUAAGGCUGAUCUUUCCAGGUAAUUUAUCGAGUACUUCAUAAACCUUUUGUUUCUCUUGUGAAUAAAUAUCCACACAGUCAGCCUCUACUCUGUCAGUUGUUACAAGGUCAAACAAUGGUUGUAGAUUCUUAACAAAAACCCUGAAUCCAACAUGCUCAACCAUUUGAACUGGAUAACCAUGUAAAAUAAUCAUGCGAGCAAUAUCAAAUUGGCUUCGCCUUUGAUCCAAGUUACCACUUGCAACACUAACAGCUUCAUCUUUCAUCUGCCCUUGUUCAAAUUUAUCAAAUUUAUAAUUCACAACAGUAAGUGGUUCAUCCUUUCUUUGCUCCUGAUUAACAUUUACAUUCGCAAGAGCAAGGGUUCCUUCCUUCUUCUUUUCCUUUGUAGAAAGAAACUGAGCAAUGCCACGAUUAGAUCUUCUCUGACACCUAAUUAAAUGGUUCCUCAAAUGGGACGUUCCACUGGUACUUGAUCCACUAAGUUUUUUCUUACAAUGCCUACAAAUGGCAACAAAAGUAUCCCCUUUUUUCACCCUGUCAAAGUCAUUCCAUACCACAGAUUUUAAUCUGCUGGAUUUGACUAUCACGGCAUCAGAUAAAUCCAUCGCAUGAACCUGAUAGUUCACUGAUAUCUGACCAUUAGAAGCAAAUUUGGGGGGAAAUUAAAAGAAGAAAAAUAUAUAAUCAAUGAAAUAGAAAACCCUAUGAUGAUGAAAACAAAAUAUAAUGUGCACAGGUGUUUUUUUCCCAAAAACAAUAAAGCGACAUAAUAAAUCCCAAAUGCUCAUUACAGAAUCAACGUGGAAUUAAAUUAGGAUUAUAAAGAGUUUAAUCGCAUGUCAAGCAAACAUUCUUACGGAAAACAAAAUUAAAUUUAUGCCAAUAGUGCUAAUAUUAAGAAUAUAUUUAUAGUCAUAUCUCCAGAUACGAAUCACCCACUUGAUUUGGUGGUGCCGGGCAACUGUCUGUGACAGCAGUAGAGCCAUAGUGGCGGCGAAGCCUCAAUGGUGGUCUGCCCUUUCUGGUGACGGUCCGAGGAGAUUCAAGAUGAAGAACAAUGAAUUAUAAGCGCAAAUUUUUGGAAACAAAAAAUUAAAAAACCAACAGAAAAAACAGAGAAGGGAGGCGGCGGCACCCAAGAGUGAGAGAAAAGGAACGAGUUUCUAGGGCAAGAAAAAUCAAGGGCAAAUUA